UACGGAGGGUGCAAGCGUUAUCCGGAUUUACUGGGUUUAAAGGGUGCGUAGGUGGGCAGGUAAGUCAGUGGUGAAAUCUUCGAGCUUAACUCGGAAACUGCCAUUGAUACUAUCUGUCUUGAAUCAUCUGGAGGUAAGCGGAAUAUGUCAUGUAGCGGUGAAAUGCUUAGAUAUGACAUAGAACACCCAUUGCGAAGGCAGCUUACUACGGAUGCAUUGACACUGAGGCACGAAAGCGUGGGGAUCAAACAGG
rnacentral:rRNA from 1 species